rnacentral:rRNA from 1 species
AACGAACGCUGGCGGCAUGCCUAACACAUGCAAGUCGAACGAGACCUUCGGGUCUAGUGGCGCACGGGUGCGUAACGCGUGGGAACCUGCCCUUAGGUUCGGAAUAACUCCCCGAAAGGGGUGCUAAUACCGGAUAAUGUCUUCGGACCAAAGAUUUAUCGCCUUUGGAUGGGCCCGCGUUGGAUUAGCUAGUUGGUAGGGUAAAAGCCUACCAAGGCGACGAUCCAUAGCUGGUCUGAGAGGAUGAUCAGCCACACUGGGACUGAGACACGGCCCAGACUCCUACGGGAGGCAGCAGUGGAGAAUAUUGGACAAUGGGCGAAAGCCUGAUCCAGCAAUGCCGCGUGAGUGAUGAAGGCCUUAGGGUUGUAAAGCUCUUUUACCCGGGAUGAUAAUGACAGUACCGGGAGAAUAAGCACCGGCUAACUCCGUG